rnacentral:rRNA from 1 species
GAUGAACGCUGGCGGCGUGCCUAAUACAUGCAAGUCGAGCGAACGGACGAGAAGCUUGCUUUUCUGAUGUUAGCGGCGGACGGGUGAGCAACACGUGGAUAACCUACCUAUAAGACUGGGAUAACUUCGGGAAACCGGAGCUAAUACCGGAUAAUAUUUUGAACCGCAUGGUUCAAAAGUGAAAGACGGUCUUGCUGUCACUUAUAGAUGGAUCCGCGCUGCAUUAGCUAGUUGGUAAGGUAACGGCUUACCAAGGCAACGAUGCAUAGCCGACCUGAGAGGGUGAUCGGCCACACUGGAACUGAGACACGGUCCAGACUCCUACGGGAGGCAGCAGUAGGGAAUCUUCCGCAAUGGGCGAAAGCCUGACGGAGCAACGCCGCGUGAGUGAUGAAGGUCUUCGGAUCGUAAAACUCUGUUAUUAGGGAAGAACAUAUGUGUAAGUAACUGUGCACAUCUUGACGGUACCUAAUCAGAAAGCCACGGCUAACUACGUGCCAGCAGCCGCGGUAAUACGUAGGUGGCAAGCGUUAUCCGGAAUUAUUGGGCGUAAAGCGCGCGUAGGCGGUUUUUUAAGUCUGAUGUGAAAGCCCACGGCUCAACCGUGGAGGGUCAUUGGAAACUGGAAAACUUGAGUGCAGAAGAGGAAAGUGGAAUUCCAUGUGUAGCGGUGAAAUGCGCAGAGAUAUGGAGGAACACCAGUGGCGAAGGCGACUUUCUGGUCUGUAACUGACGCUGAUGUGCGAAAGCGUGGGGAUCAAACAGGAUUAGAUACCCUGGUAGUCCACGCCGUAAACGAUGAGUGCUAAGUGUUAGGGGGUUUCCGCCCCUUAGUGCUGCAGCUAACGCAUUAAGCACUCCGCCUGGGGAGUACGACCGCAAGGUUGAAACUCAAAGGAAUUGACGGGGACCCGCACAAGCGGUGGAGCAUGUGGUUUAAUUCGAAGCAACGCGAAGAACCUUACCAAAUCUUGACAUCCUUUGACAACUCUAGAGAUAGAGCCUUCCCCUUCGGGGGACAAAGUGACAGGUGGUGCAUGGUUGUCGUCAGCUCGUGUCGUGAGAUGUUGGGUUAAGUCCCGCAACGAGCGCAACCCUUAAGCUUAGUUGCCAUCAUUAAGUUGGGCACUCUAAGUUGACUGCCGGUGACAAACCGGAGGAAGGUGGGGAUGACGUCAAAUCAUCAUGCCCCUUAUGAUUUGGGCUACACACGUGCUACAAUGGACAAUACAAAGGGCAGCGAAACCGCGAGGUCAAGCAAAUCCCAUAAAGUUGUUCUCAGUUCGGAUUGUAGUCUGCAACUCGACUACAUGAAGCUGGAAUCGCUAGUAAUCGUAGAUCAGCAUGCUACGGUGAAUACGUUCCCGGGUCU